rnacentral:rRNA from 1 species
GACGAACGCUGGCGGCGUGCUUAACACAUGCAAGUCGAACGGAAAGGCCCUGCUUUUGUGGGGUGCUCGAGUGGCGAACGGGUGAGUAACACGUGAGUAACCUGCCCUUGACUUUGGGAUAACUUCAGGAAACUGGGGCUAAUACCGGAUAGGAGCUCCUGCUGCAUGGUGGGGGUUGGAAAGUUUCGGCGGUUGGGGAUGGACUCGCGGCUUAUCAGCUUGUUGGUGGGGUAGUGGCUUACCAAGGCUUUGACGGGUAGCCGGCCUGGGAGGGUGACCGGGCACAGUGGGACUGAGAGACGGCCCAGACUCCUACGGGAGGCAGCAGUGGGGAAUAUUGCACAAUGGGCGGAAGCCUGAUGCAGCAACGCCGCGUGCGGGAUGAAGGCCUUCGGGUUGUAAACCGCUUUCGCCUGUGACGAAGCGUGAGUGACGGUAAUGGGUAAAGAAGCACCGGCUAACUACGUG